rnacentral:rRNA from 1 species
AGGACGAACGCUGGCGGCGUGCUUAACACAUGCAAGUCGAGCGGAAAGGCCCUUCGGGGUACUCGAGCGGCGAACGGGUGAGUAACACGUGAGUAACCUGCCCCUAGCUCUGGGAUAGCUCCGGGAAACCGGGAUUAAUACCAGAUACGACCACUUUAGACAUCUGUCGUGGUGGAAAGGAUUCCGGCUAGGGAUGGGCUCGCGGCCUAUCAGCUUGUUGGUGGGGUAACGGCCUACCAAGGCGACGACGGGUAGCCGGCCUGAGAGGGCGACCGGCCACGACUGGGACUGAGACACGGCCCAGACUCCUACGGGAGGCAGCAGUGGGAAUAUUGCGCAAUGGGCGAAAGCCUGACGCAGCGACGCCGCGUGGGGGAUGAAGGCCUUCGGGUUGUAAACCCCGUUUCAGCAGGACGAAGCGAAAGUGACGGUACCUGCAGAAGAAGCGCCGGCUAACUACGUGCCAGUACGCCGC